GACACAGCAUGUUCUAUUGUUGAUAACUCUGGUUUCUAUGGUGAGCAUAUACUUGAAGCUAGAACCUUGGGAAAGUAGGAAAAAAGGUAUUGGAUAUGGCUUCCGUAGCAUUUCAUGGAAGGGGAUAGGAAAAGUAUGGGUAGGACAGACAGAUGGAAAAAAGGCUCAGAUAAAUGUUUAGCUUUUCAAUAACUUCCUUUCCUCCCCAAAUAGGCUACAUCUUAUUUUAGAUCUAUUCCAUCUGAUCCUGUUAAAACUGCAUAUAUUUCCCUCCACCAACUGGUUCCCUCCUCACCACCUUAAAAUCCAUGAUGUCUCUUAAUGUGUCCACAGAGCAUGAAAACAAGCAAAAAUGAUGUCAGCAAAAAGUGGGUAGAAUUCAAGCACUGUGUGCUGGAUUGUAGGACACGUGAAGAUGAAAUUGAGAGAUGAGACAAGGAUGCUGAGAACACGUCAUGGGAUUGUGCGCCUAGAAACCCAAGUUCACAACCACUGGCCCUCAAGCCUAAGAACCCGGAGAAAGAUACUAACAGCAGAGAGGCUCGCAUGGACUCAGGCUACCAUGUCAGGAGCAGCCUUAUGGAGAGACCCUUGUGGGGAAGAUCUGAGGCCCUUCUACCUCCUACCAACAGCCACGUGAGGGUUCUCCUACCCCAGCACACCGUUAGAUGACUCCAUCCCCAGCUCACAGCAUGAGAUGCCCUGAGCCAGACCCAUCCAGCUAAGCUGGCUCCUCAA